CUUCUUCAGUUUGGUUGUUCACUGGUUGAUUGUUUUUCCUCCUGUUACUAGUAACAGUUGUUGUUUUUCCCAUGUUAAUUUGUUUGUAGCUGUUAGUGCUAACCCUUUCUAUUCAUGCUGCCUCAUUUACUCGUCCAGUAAUUUGUCCAGUAAUUAAGAGAUAUCUGAAGACACCUUGGGACAGGAUCUGGAAAAUGCAUCAAUUCUGAUUAGCAAAGUUUUAAACUUGGUUUGUGGUUUAUUUGUUUUUUUUUCCCCUUCAAAGCUUCUAUGUAUUUUAUUUAUUUUUUUGUUCUUGCCAGAUCAACACAUUAGCACUGAGAGGGGGCACCAAUGUCAAAGAGAGUGUUUGGGGGAUGAUGAGCCAUGUCAUGACAAAUCCCCUUGCACUUAAAAUCAAUUGGAGAGGAAUCAGUGGGAAGGCUGCAUUCCACCGAAUGGUGUUAAAGGAUGUUAUAACAAGUGCAGUAAGACAAAAUAGACUGACUAGCUCUGCAAGCGACAUGGAGGUUGAGGCUGCCAUAAAACGGUGGUUGCAUCUUGCCUCUGACCGUGAUGGAGGGAGGAAAGCUCAUGAGGGUCAAGCUGGUGUUGCUGCACACAGUCACCAAAUUUGACGGAUGUUAUGCUAUACCCAAGGACUUCUGCUUUAUCACCUUCAUUUCACACAGACACGAAAUCUUGUUGGCUGAACUGUUCACUGUUUUAAAUUUACCACACCUGUUUGAGUGUUUGUCCAAAAGGUUUAUAUGUUAUUGCUGUUCAUAAAAAAUGUUAAAUUUUAUCUUUAAAUGCAAACUUUUGGAAAAAAUAUUAUUUGCAGUUUUGAUGGAUACUAUGCUGUUAAUUGCUAUUUGUGAAUUAAAGCACAAUCCUGUGAACUGGGAUAAACUGUGGAAGUACUGUAAGUCAUAAAUCAUUUAACA